GAUUAAAUGGCUGAAAUUUAGGCAAUAGAUUGUAAAUCUAUGUAUGGGAAUAUUCUCUUUAAUCA
rnacentral:tRNA from 1 species